rnacentral:rRNA from 1 species
UGGGGAAUCUUGCGCAAUGGGCGAAAGCCUGACGCAGCAACGCCGCGUGCGGGAUGACGGCCUUCGUGGUUGUAAACCGCUUUCAGCAGGGACGAAAAUGACGGUACCUGCAGAAGAAGCCCCGGCUAACUACGUGCCAGCAGCCGCGGUAAUACGUAGGGGGCGAGCGUUGUCCGGAUUCAUUGGGCGUAAAGAGCUCGUAGGCGGUUCAGUAAGUCGGGUGUGAAAGCUCCGAGCUCAACUCGGAGAGGCCACCCGAUACUGCUGUGACUUGAGUUCGGUAGAGGAGCGUGGAACUCCUGGUGUAGCGGUGAAAUGCGCAGAUAUCAGGAAGAACACCGGUAGCGAAGGCGGCGCUCUGGGCCGAAACUGACGCUGAGGAGCGAAAGCGUGGGUAGCAAACAGG